GGAGAGUGAACUGUUUCUAGUUAUGUAUGUUCUAUUGGCAAUUUGAAGCUGUCAUAAUCCUUGGAGCUAUACUUGGUCGAUUUAGGAUAUAUUGAUUGUAUUGCCUCUGAAAAAGAUAUUUUGGCUAACGAGCUUCCUGUGCAUGUAUCUACUUGAUUGACAGUGAUUGAGUUUAUGGCAGAAUUGCAAUUAAGACUAGAGAACUUUUGGAAGUUGCUGCAAUAGUGCCGGAGUAAGACAAUCUGGAGGUUGAACUCCUGCUGAACCAUUUAUAGCAGAAGCGUUGGAUUCAGACAGUUCCACUAUCACCCAUGCAGCUUGUGGAAAAUAAGGCCUUGGUGAAUAAGAACCAGUCUUCCCUCUAUUAGCAUUAGUAUUUGUAAAUUUGAAAUUUGGCAGGAAACCAAUUUAGUCUGAAACAAGAUUCUUGUUUGUGUGUUGCAAAACUGGCAAACAAUAUUCCUUUUACUCUUCCCAUAUUGAUCAGUUCUAAAUUAGCAUCGUGCGCAGA
rnacentral:misc_RNA from 1 species